UACGGGGGGAGCAAGCGUUGUUCGGAUUUACUGGGCGUAAAGGGCGCGUAGGCGGUCAGCACAAGUCAGUUGUGAAAUCUCCGGGCUUAACCCGGAAAGGUCAACUGAUACUGUGCGACUAGAGUGCGGAAGGGGCAACUGGAAUUCUCGGUGUAGCGGUGAAAUGCGUAGAUAUCGAGAGGAACACCUGCGGCGAAGGCGGGUUGCUGGGCUGACACUGACGCUGAACUGCGAAAGCUAGGGGAGCGAACGGG
rnacentral:rRNA from 1 species